UUCUGGUCAGCCGGUCGCGCCUUCAGAACGCCGACAAAAAUGUUGCGCGGGUACGUCGACGAGGUGAAUGCUGUUUCAACUAACCAGGUGCCGGCCCACUGGGAGUGAAAAAUAAAUCAGCACUUUUGUCGAGUCGGAAAACGCAGUCUCUCAGCUGUUCCGUUCAAUGCAUCCCGAAUUCCCCGGCCGUGGGGACCUCCCUUCUAACCAGCCACGGAAAAUUGACCAGAGAAUCGCAGUUUCCAGAAGAUUAACCUUGCCCCCUUUCCGGAUCGUUGGCCUCAAGAUGACUGCCAAUAAAUCCAAAUCGAUUCCAGCAGCAUAACGACAGUUCUAAGCAGACCAUUGUAAAUUGUGUUAUGAAUAUAGAAUGAAAAUUUGUGAUAGUUGUAAUUAAAAAAAAUAAAAUGUAAUUUAUUUAAAAAUAAAUUAUAUCUAGAUCUCGAAGA